AUACGGAGGGUGCGAGCGUUGUUCGGAAUCAUUGGGCGUAAAGCGCGUGUAGGCGGCUUGGUAAGUCGGGUGUGAAAUCCCGGGGCCCAACCCCGGAACUGCACUCGAAACUGCCUCGCUAGAGUCCCGGAGAGGAAGGCGGAAUUCCCGGUGUAGAGGUGAAAUUCGUAGAUAUCGGGAGGAACACCAGCGGCGAAGGCGGCCUUCUGGACGGUGACUGACGCUGAGACGCGAAAGCGUGGGGAGCAAACAGGAUUAGAAACCCCGGUAGUCC
rnacentral:rRNA from 1 species